rnacentral:rRNA from 1 species
UACGGAGGGUGCAAGCGUUGUCCGGAUUUAUUGGGUUUAAAGGGUGCGUAGGCGGCUCUUUAAGUCAGAGGUGAAAUCCCGUGGCUCAACCACGGAACUGCCUUUGAUACUGGAGAGCUUGAGUUCGGUAGAGGCGGGCGGAACUGGUGGUGUAGCGGUGAAAUGCAUAGAUACCACCAAGAACCCCGAUUGCGAAGGCAGCUCGCUGUGCCUGUAACUGACGCUGAGGCACGAAAGCGUGGGGAGCGAACAGG